AUUGAACGCUGGCGGCAGGCCUAACACAUGCAAGUCGAGCGGAGCGGCGGACGGGUGAGUAAUGCCUAGGACUCUGCCUGGUAGUGGGGGAUGGCGUCCGGAACCGGGCGCUAAAACCGCUUCCUCUCACAUGCGCCUAGGCCGGAUUAGCUAGUGGGUGGGGUAAAGGCCUACCAACGCGACGAUCCGUAACUGGUCUGAGAGGAUGAUCAGUCACACUGGAACUGAGACACGGUCCAGACUCCGACGGGAGGCAGCAGUGGGGAAUAUUGGACAAUGGGCGAAAGCCUGAUCCAGCCAUGCCGCGUGUGUGAAGAAGGCCUUCGGGUUGUAAAGUACUUUCAGCGGGGAGGCGUUACCCGCAGAAGAAGCACCGGCUAACUCCGUGCCAGCAGCCGCGGUAAUAC
rnacentral:rRNA from 1 species